rnacentral:tRNA from 1 species
UCCGUUGUAGUCUAGUUGGUUAAGAUACUCUGUUUUCACCUGAGAGACUCGAGUUCAAUACUUGAUAAUGAAA